GUAUGGUCAGGCGGGAUCAUCUGCCAGCUGGAGGUCUCAGGACUGUGGAAAACCAUGUAUUCUAGCAGUAUAUUCUCUGGCCCAGCCGACCAUUACUAUCUUCAUAACGCUUAUGAAACUGUGCCUUCUCUAAGGCCAUUCACAGCUCUCGACUGGGCUAUCCUUCUUUGCCCUCUGUGCAUAAUUUCAUGCUUAUUUGAUCUCCCCAACCUCUGCACUGACCUGGCUUCUUGUGUUAUAUCCUAAACAACUUGUUCUUGGUUUCAUCCACUCAGUUCUCUGGAUCAGCCAGCUUCACACAGAAGUGACAGCACUUCUGAAAUCCCCUCUUAGUCACUUUUGUAACUUCAACCUCUGCUAAAGGUAGACACUCACUCUAUAGACCAGGCCUUGAGCUCAAAGAUCCACCUGCCUCUGCCCCCUGGCCCCCUCCACCUCCCCACGAGUGCUGGGACUAAAGGUGUGAACCACCACCACCACCACCACCACCACCCAGCUCCCUUGUUUUCUUAACAUUGAUCUAUUUAUAACUAGAGUGAGCAAAGCAGUGGUGGUGCACAACUUUAAUCCCACCACUCAGGAGGCAGAGGCAGGUGGAGCUCUGUGAUUUCGAGGCCAGCCUGGUCUACAAUAUGAGUUCCAGGACAGCCAGGGAUACACAGAGAAACCCUGCCUCAAAAAGAAAAUCAAAUAAACCCCCACAGAGUUACACCUUAUCCACUGCCCAAUGUCCUGCCAUUGGUUCCCAGACCAGAGCCUAGAGCCUGAAAUGGUCAUAUGCUCAGGCCCCAUUGCAAAGGACAGUGGGAAGGCACCUGCUUGUCUAACCUCUGGGGUGGCAAAGCUCGGGAGGGACUCCUCCUUAGGCAGCAGAGAUGCUCACUGGUGUGGGCUGUGCACACUCUGGUUUUCUUUCCUCUAAACUUGUGGGCCCCCAGGUUCAAGCUUUUAAUUUUCAGGUUUGCAUAUCUAUAAGUGCCUCCGUGUAUCUAUGUGGACCACAUGUAUGCCUGGUGCCUGUGGAAAUGAGAAGAAAGCAUUGAAUCCCCUCAAAAAGUGUUCUUAACCCCUUAGCCAUCUCUCCAGCCCCAGGUUCAAAUCCUGAGCACCGUCUGAACUAGUCCUGUGUCCAAGACAGUAUCAUCAAACCCUGCCCUUCCCGCCUUGUGCCAGCUCGCGCUUUUUCUUACAUCUGUAUGUUGAUGCUUAGCAGGUUCCUUGAAUGCUUGGUUUAUGUGCCUGGCUGGAGGAGACACCCAUGGCCUUGCAGAGGGAGCGUUCUGGUGGGAAAGCAGACACAACCCACCCUAGGCCCGUGGUUUCCCUGCAAGAAGCCCAGUGGCUUUCUGGAGGACACUUUUCCUGGAGGAAGUGACUCAAGUGGGCAGAGACCACCUCCCUCAUUGCCGCUUUGGGUUUGGACCGCUUUAAACAGUAAAGUGACUGUCGACGGCUCAGUCUACAGGGAGGAGAACAAAAGACAGGGUCAGGGCUGGGCAGACUGGACAGGAGCAGCAUAAGCCAGGCUCUAUGGAAUGUUGGGUGAGCUGCUUGAGGAACUCCAAGGCCUGUCCCACAGUCUUCCAGCCUCCGACUCUCCGGCCCUCAGCGAGGAAGUCCCACUGGUUUUUUUGGUUGGUUUUUUUUUUUUUUUUUAAGGUUUUUUGGUUUUUUUUUUUUUUUCUCAUUCCUGUCUUGGGAGCUUUCCCCAACCAGGAGAGUGAAGAUGGGCGGAGCUGUCACACCAACUGUUAGCCUGCCUUGGCUGAGAGGAGAGGAGGCGAGGAGGGAGCGACCACCCAGCUUUAGUCGUUUUAAAACAGCUCCUGACCCUAGAAGAAGGGAAAUGGAGAUGAAGACCCAAUUGACUUGGCUUCCCUCCCUCCCAGUGCUGAUUUCCUGUGGACCAGAUUCCAGCACAGUGGAGGGCCAGAGCUCAGGGAACAGACCCAGCAGCACAGCAAGUCUCCAAGGAAAGCUCUAGCAGUCUCCAGGGGCUGAAGGCAGGACUGGGGAAGCGGCUAGCCAGGCUGCAGAAGGCAAAUGCUCCCAGACGGCUGUCCAGCACGCAUCCGCCUUCCUAGCCAAGUUUCCUGGGCUCCUGCCACAGAUCUAAGCCUCAUCCUGACAUCCUGCCCUCUGUGCUCUGGGAUGGCCCAGGGGAGAUGCUUAGCCUUGGCUCCUUGUCUGCUGGUGGAGGGGACACACACCCUUUCUGGACCACAGACCAAAAAGAAGACCUGACGUCAUCCUGAGCACCCCCGCCAUGCAGAGUGUGUUCGCAGACUGCCAACGGGCUGGCUCCGGCCAGCAGAAGUGAACAGAGGUGGAGGUUCAGCCUGACAGCUUCUCCCCAAAGCCAUGGAGAGAAAACCUUACCACCCCCACCGCCCAGCUACUUCCAGCAAGUUGUCCAGCCUGACCCCUCUAUUUCCCCUGUUGUCUCUUAUCUGGGUCCCUGAGACCCACCCCAUCUCCAAUAAAGAACAUUGCAUACUGUGCAUCCACUACUGAACAACAUAGUCACACCAGGCAGGGCUCCCUAAAGCCUACCUGCAUGGCCAGCGUGGUCCGAGGACAGUGUGCUCUCCCCACCCUGUCUGCUAGCCUCCAGCUUCAUGGGAACUCCAUUAAUCAUGGGAUUCCGAGAUCAUCAGAGCAAUAGGAUCACUCCGUCUCCAGGGGAGCACAAGGCAAGAGCCAGAGCGGGACUGUUCUUCAGUCAAGGGGCAGGGGUUGCUGCCUCU
rnacentral:lncRNA from 1 species